UUCUUGGUCAUUUAGAGGAAGUAAAAGUCGUAACAAGGUUUCCGUAGGUGAACCUGCGGAAGGAUCAUUAAAGAAAUUUAAUAAUUUUGAAAAUGGAUUUUUUUGUUUUGGCAAGAGCAUGAGAGCUUUUACUGGGCAAGAAGACAAGAGAUGGAGAGUCCAGCCGGGCCUGCGCUUAAGUGCGCGGUCUUGCUAGGCUUGUAAGUUUCUUUCUUGCUAUUCCAAACGGUGAGAGAUUUCUGUGCUUUUGUUAUAGGACAAUUAAAACCGUUUCAAUACAACACACUGUGGAGUUUUCAUAUCUUUGCAACUUUUUCUUUGGGCAUUCGAGCAAUCGGGGCCCAGAGGUAACAAACACAAACAAUUUUAUCUAUUCAUUAAAUUUUUGUCAAAAACAAGAAUUUUCGUAACUGGAAAUUUUAAAAUAUUAAAAACUUUCAACAACGGAUCUCUUGGUUCUCGCAUCGAUGAAGAACGCAGCGAAAUGCGAUACGUAAUGUGAAUUGCAGAAUUCCGUGAAUCAUCGAAUCUUUGAACGCACAUUGCGCCCCUUGGUAUUCCAGGGGGCAUGCCUGUUUGAGCGUCAUUUCCUUCUCAAACAUUCUGUUUGGUAGUGAGUGAUACUCUUUGGAGUUAACUUGAAAUUGCUGGCCUUUUCAUUGGAUGUUUUUUUUCCAAAGAGAGGUUUCUCUGCGUGCUUGAGGUAUAAUGCAAGUACGGUCGUUUUAGGUUUUACCAACUGCGGCUAAUCUUUUUUUAUACUGAGCGUAUUGGAACGUUAUCGAUAAGAAGAGAGCGUCUAGGCGAACAAUGUUCUUAAAGUUUACCUCAAAUCAGGUAGGAGUACCCGCUGAACUUAAGCAUAUCAAUAAGCGGAGGAA
rnacentral:rRNA from 1 species